rnacentral:tRNA from 1 species
AUUAUCUUGGCAGAUUAGUGCAUUAAAUUUAGAAUUUAAAUAUAAAAAUAAUAUUUUUAGGUAAUA